rnacentral:lncRNA from 1 species
CCUAUGUACAGUCUUUAACAUAUUACCUGCCUUAGAGCACAUGGAUUGCAAAAUGUCAGAAAAUAAAUAUUAAAAAUUAUACAAUACAAUCUGGAAAAAAGAGAAAAAAACAUUUUAAAUAAUAACUUCUAACAUCCCUUGUAGUUCUGUCAGUCUGAUCUUAAGCUCUUGUUGUCAUGUCAAAACAAGCCCUGUCACUAAAAUCAAUGAAAUACAGUGAUGCUCUCUACUAACCAUCCCUAGGAAUGGUUAUUCAUAACCGGAACCAUCUUUCUCACAAGCCCUCUGAAUCCCCCAGACCAUGCUGCCUCUAAAUUCCAAAUCUGAUAAAAAGGAGUUGCUUGAAUCCUAACAUGGAACAGUAAAGAGAUCUUUUGGUCCAUUUGGAAAAUUGUAUAACCAUUUGAGGUUAAGUCUCCUGUUUUAAGAAUCAUCCUCUACACUGUGGCACAAUUGAAUGUAAUAGACUUCUCUACUAACAGCAAUGCAAUGAUCCAAGACAAUUCUGAGGGACUUAUGAGAAGGGCUGCUAUCCACAUCCAGAGGAAGAACUGUGGGAGCAGAAACACAGAAGAAAAACAACUACUUGAUCGCAUGGUUCGAUGGGGAUAUGAUUAGGGAUGUAGACUCUAAACGAUCACCCUAGAACAAAUAUUAAUAAUAUCGACCCACGAGCCGAGUGAUCCACCUCUAAGAGUUGUCCGAACCUCUCAACGGUUUCAAGCCCUCUUGAACCCUCUCUUCAAAGUUCUUUUCUACUUUCCCUUACAGUAUUUGUUGACUAUCGGUCUCGUGCCGGUAUUUAGCCUUAGAUGGAAUUUACCACCCUCUUUGGGCUGCAUUCCCAAGCAACCCGACUCCGAGAAGACCCGGUCUUCCGUACGCCACAUGGCCCGCGCCCCACCGCGGGGGUGGGGAUUCGGCGCUGGGCUCUUCGCUGUUCACUCGCGGUUACUGAGGAAAUCCUUGUUAGUUUCUUUUCCUCCACUGACUAAUAUACUUAAAUUCUGCGGGUCGCCACAUCGGAUCUUGAGGUCUUGAUCGAUUUCACAUGUAAAAUCAUGUAACCAUCGAAAAAUAUUCUAAAUUAAUUAAUUGAAUGAAUAAACUUUUAAAAAAAGAACA